GAUGAACGCUAGCUACAGGCUUAACACAUGCAAGUCGAGGGACAGCACAGUGUAGCAAUACAUGGGUGGCGACCGGCGCACGGGUGCGUAACGCGUAUCCAACCUUCCCGUUACUCAGGGAUAGCCUUCCGAAAGGGAGAUUAAUACCUGAUGGUGUUCAAAUUCCGCAUGUUAUUUGAAUUAAAGAUUUAUCGGUAACGGAUGGGGAUGCGUGACAUUAGGUAGAUGGCGGGGUAACGGCCCACCAUGCCCACGAUGUCUAGGGGUUCUGAGAGGAAGGUCCCCCACACUGGAACUGAGACACGGUCCAGACUCCUACGGGAGGCAGCAGUGAGGAAUAUUGGUCAAUGGUCGAGAGACUGAACCAGCCAAGUCGCGUGAGGGAAGACGGCCCUAUGGGUCUUAAACUUCUUUUGUAAGGGAGCAAUAAGUUCUACGUGUAGGAUGAUGAGAGUACCUUACGAAUAAGCAUCGGCUAACUCCGUG
rnacentral:rRNA from 1 species